UCGUGGAGUGGUCUGUCUGGUCAAUUCCGCUAACGAACGAGACCCCGUUCGGUUUAAAUAGUACGGCGGACGGCCUGUGCCGGCCGGUUUCGGCCGGUCCGGCUUGGCCGGUGUCCGCCUGCGUAACUUCUUAGAGGAUCACCGCCCAAUAAAGGGCAAGCCAGUGGGGCAAUAACA
rnacentral:rRNA from 1 species